rnacentral:tRNA from 1 species
AGAGGCUUAGGAUAAUCACAAACCAGGGGCCUUCAAAGCCUCAGACAGGGGCCUAAUCCCCCUAGCCUUUG